AUUUACACAAAGCGCUUUUCUGAGGAUGACUGCACUUUAGCACCAUUACUGUAAAAAAGGAAGGAAAAAAAAACGGCCUGAACAUUUGAAGGAAAAGCACUUGCUUCCUGUAAGGAGGCUCAGGCAGCAAAGGCUGCACCUCUGCUGUCUGUGUGUCCCUGAGGUACUUUAGCCUCAGGUACGGCUGUUGGUGGGAAAAGGCCAGACCCGUGCCACCCUCCGAAAGGCAACACAGGUGUUUUCUGGUGACCGCCGGGCUGGUGACCUUUGUGCUCAUGUAAUGAAAGCAGCUGAUGUCACGCUCAGGUUCCUAUCAAGCUCUCCCGUUCCCUGUGCUGUGCGUUUGUGAACUUUGUUUCUGCUUGCAGCACCUGAACCCCGAUGCUCCUGGCCAGGCUCCCGCUCAGCCCGUACUGGCGGCAUGCCAAGCUGCGACUUGGCAAAGGAGAGACACCGAGCCUGCUUGCUGUUUGCUCAAAGUGCCCAGUGGACCACUGGAAGUUCUCCAAACCACACUGGCUUGGAAGAAAAUUCUGGGAGAAGCUGAGAAAAAGGGGCUUUUUUCCUUGGAUCGCCUCAAGAAGCACCAGCGGAUAUUUGACAACAUGGGGAUAGGAAAUGUUGCAGCGUAGGCAGCCAGCUUCUCCUGCUGCUGCCAUGAAAUGAAACAUAAACACAUUGAUCCUAUAAGAAAAGAGUUGAUCCUUGCUUGUGGUAUGCUAGUUAUGAGCAAUUCAGAUAGAUACUGCAUGGAGGUUGGGUCAUAGCUGACAAAACAUGCCGGGAGGCAUCUCCCUCCUUUUUAGAUGCAGAGGAUUACAUCUGAGUUCCUGGCUGUGUUGCCACACUGAGACCAUCCCCCAGUUGAUUUUGGGAAGUGGGACCAUAUGAAAAACCACGGUCAGAAACAUCUGGGAAGCAAGCCGGCCUGUCCAAAGUUUACAUUGUCAGCCCCAUCCAGAUAAAAUGAGAGCUGCCUCAAGUUGUUAACCCCAGGGGCACUUGGAAUCAGAGAUCUGUGUCAGAUCCAAAUAAAAUAAAAAAAAUCCCAAAAUGUAGCCUAAAAUGCAAAUUAAACCAGAAUAGGAACCAUUUGUUUAAAAGAGUAAUCAUAUAAACAAAGGGUGAAAAAAAAAAAAAAAAAAAAAGAAAAAGAAGAAAAAAAGAAGAAAAAAAAAAAGACAGAAAGAGCAAAUAAGAGGUUCCCCACCGUUUUCUGUCCCUGAAGGAUGGAGAUGGUGUUUAUUCUCCACACAGUGAGGCAGACAGGUCUCUGUGCUAGUAAGUCUCAUAAAUGCCACCCUUGGCUCUGCUGUCACAUCUCUUCCUGCUGCAUCCCCAACAAUGCCUUUUCCAGGAGGCUGAGUGAGCAAGAAAGAAGUCCUAAUGUUUGAACCGUGGUUCAGGGCUCAGCGUGGGGAAUGAGAUAGCAGCCAGAGAAGAUUUACACAACCGAAAUCCUCCGCAAGACCUGUGUCAGCAAACAUACACCAGGCUGCUUUGGGUUGCGUGAUGCUGCCUGCAGGUAGGGCUGUAGCAAGUCAAGCUGUGAUGGCAGUGGCUCCACGUGGGCUCGUCACACCAGCAUGGGUAUCCAGAGCAAGCAAGCUGUAACAGCAUGGAGCUUGGUGUGGGCUGAAAAAGCCAGCUGGAAAAGCCCAUGGGAGCUAAGCCCACACUGAGCUCCACAUUGCUCCAGCUCAUCUGCUGCUUUUGGCCACACCAGCCCACCACUGCCUCAGGCAGGUCUGCAUCGCAGGGCUGGCACUGCUGCAGCUGCUCCACGAUGCUGGGCUUGCCACAGGGCACUGGGGUUUUCACCCCCCGGGCUUCCCUCUCCCAGCUCCUCAUUGCCCCCACCACCAACCUAGCCAGAGUUAUCCAGGAGGAUGGGUCAUCUGAGGACACAUUAUGAAGUGUCAGACUGCUCUGAGACAGCGGUUUACACAUGUGAAAACCCAGGACUCGUUCUCCGUUGCUAACUCCACCCAGAUGAAAGUUACUGGUGCCAUUCCUGGCUGAUCUCAGGAUAAGUAAAAGCAGACUUGAGCCCUUAACUUCUACACGCUACAGAGAAAUUCUGUUUUCCUUCAUGGAAGGGAUGUUGGAAUUAAUUGUUAUACUUGCAUAAUAUGAUGCUGAAGUGCACUUUUCCACUGCGUAAUUUCUAGAGGAAAAAAGUGUAAUUACACAAUAUUAAGUACAAACUUAAAAAAAAAAAAAAAAGGAAAAAAAAAUGUAUGGUAGGAGGGAACUGCAGAAAAUAGCCGCACAACACAUUAGAAACCCAAGAAUUUUGAAGGCAAAAAAAUAUGAAAGUACUCCAAAUGUAUUACGAUCAUGAUGCACCUUUAGGACAUAUAUACACCCUAGUGAUGCCCUAAGACAAUGCCUGAACAGGGGACAAUAAGAAAUAAGUGAACGCAAAAUAACUUACUCUAAGACUUUUCCUGAAAACUUGGCUUCAGAUCAGUACGAAUGGCAAAGACUCUGAUACCAUUAUUCUAACAGCUAUUCCCCAAGCCCAAGGUGGGCAGUGUGAUGUCAAGAUGUGACCUGAGGCCCUGAGGUUAGCCCGGCUUGCAUUUAUGCAUCCUUACGCAUCCGCGCAUCACAAGGACCUGUCCGCCUUGGCUCUGCACUUGGGACACAUCCUGCACAUUGCUUUCCCAGCUGGGCCCAGCCCAUCCCGGCCGGUGACUCAACGGUGAGAGGGGUGGAAGUGUCGCAGAGCCCCGUUGUCCUGACUCAUCGGCUAUUAUUGUCGCGCAGGUGGACAAUGCAGCGAGGGGAAUUUCUCCAGCGCUGCCAGAAAAAGCAGCACCGCCACCUCCACAUUGCUGCUGUGAAAAUAAAAAUAAAGAUUUCUUUGUGGGGGUCGCAACUUCAGGCUGGUCCCUGGAAGCCUGUGGGCUCCUGACAGAAGCGGGACUAGCAUCUCUCUGUGUAAAGAAAGCUCAGGGACCACCUGCUGGCACUGAGCCUUGCCAAGAGUUACGUUUAGGGCUUCUGCCUGGGUUCUGUUUCGCUUGCCUUAAGCCAACACCCACAACAUGUGCACCUCUGGAUGCUGUGUAGGAUAUUUGUGCUGUCCACAGAGCAGAUCCAGGGUAUCAGGUUAUACAUGGCUUUUGCCAAGUCGCCUUUGCCAAACUGAAAAUUUCCUGAUUUAUCAGCUUUGAUCUCUUUGGCAGAGGCUGUGGAGUGAAACAUUUCAGCUAUUAAGAUUUUGCAAGAAAGCGCUGGCUGCACUGGCUUCUGAUCACAUCCCAUACGUUUUCAUUUUGGGGACCGGUCCGCACUGUGUCCCCCACAAAGAGCAGAGUUAGGAGGGCCAGGAGGACUGCUUGUAGGAAGGCAACGAUUUAGGGUCAUUUCCCCCACAGCUGCCAGGGACUUCCAGCCAAACCCAUCCACCUCCAGUGCCCUCAUCCUCCUGCGGGCAC
rnacentral:lncRNA from 1 species